UGUCAGUUGUCCUGUAAGCCAGCCUGCUAGCAGCAACAACAGUGCUUAUUUCCAGUGCUUAUUUACUCUAUUUUCAAGCCAGUAAGCACUACGCUCAGUAGAAAGGGUGUGCAGAACAAGGCCAUGAGGCAGCAAAAGGAGAUGAUUAUUAAGGGGAAAUAAAGAUCAACACAAUUAUCUUGGCAAUCAACAAUGAUGAGAAAAGAAACACAGAAAAUGUGCUCAACAGGGACACCUGCAAAAUGGGUUGGAUAGCUCAUUUGAGUCUCCUACAAAUAGAGACAGCCACCUCCCCAACUUCCGCCCUGGUGAGAGGAGAUGAACAACUGUCCUAAGCUCUCCCACCAACAAGAGGAGCCUACUGGCAGCCCGGAUGUCCCCUGAAUGUCACUCCAGUGUAUGCAAAAUGCAUCCAAGAUGAGUCGAUAAUAAAACAAGGGGCCACUUCCUUCAGGUGGAUGUAAUGUUGUGAAAGAAGCUGGCCUGACAGCACUGGAGAUUGAAGCACCUUGCUUAUCCACAGAACAGGGCCUUGUAACACUGUGGGCUGAACACAAGAAUUUAGCUGGAGUGAAGAGUGAUGUUAAACCUUUUCUUUCAAUAGAAGCAUUUCCAUUGACUAACUAUUAGUUUCAAAACUGAAGAGAAAAAAAGUGAUGAAAAGCAAAGUGAUGCACCAAGUUGACUUUAUACACUAUAGGUUUCCAUGGAUUUUACUCUUCUUUAUAGAUUUUUUUUUUAUUUUUUUUACUUUGAAUCCUGCAAACUUGACUUCAAAUAUAUGUAUGGUGGCCCCUCUGCUGACCCUGAGUAGGUUAAUCUGGUGAUGCAUAUUGUAUAAUGUGAUUACAGAAGGUAAAACCGGGCAAAUAAGGUACAGUAUAUGGAGUUCUUUAGCAGCUUUGAUGUGUAUCUCUCAAUUUUCUGUCUUGCUUUAAAAUAAAAAAAAAAUAAAUGGUGCCAGCAGUGCCUAUAGUGCUUGAUUAACACUGUCAU